CACGUAGGGCGCAAGCGUUGUCCGGAAUUAUUGGGCGUAAAGAGCUCGUAGGCGGUCUGUUGCGUCUGCUGUGAAAACCCGGGGCUUAACCCCUGGCUUGCAGUGGAUACGGACAGACUAGAGGUAGGUAGGGGAGAAUGGAAUUCCCGGUGUAGCGGUGAAAUGCGCAGAUAUCGGGAGGAACACCGGUGGCGAAGGCGGUUCUCUGGGCCUUACCUGACGCUGAGGAGCGAAAGCGCGGGGAGCGAACAGG
rnacentral:rRNA from 1 species